UUUGCUAAGAGAACAAAAAGUUUAAUGCAAACUUUAUCUUGUGUAAAUGGACGUUACGAAUGUAUCAAAUACAUAUCUUUCAAGGUAUGAUAUUUAUUUAUUUUUUGGUCAGAAAGGUAUUGUAUGAUAUUAAACACAGGAUUUUGAACUGAAAUACACAAUACUUAUCAAUAUAUAUACUUAUCAAGUUAGUCUUUUUUACUCCCAAUUUGAAAAACACGAAAGAGUAAUUGAGACCUAUAUAUGUCUUAAUGAAGCCAACUUGCCCAAAUUUAUUUCACUAUAAAUUUGAAUUAUGCUAUAUAUCCAAUGAUUACAAAGUUUGCUGUUGGUAUAUCCUACUCCUUGAAAACAUACUUUGAAAUAAGCAUUAUAAAUUAUAACCAAGCCUAUUUCAGUUCCAGUUGGUAUCUUAACGAAACUGGAUUGUUAAAGUUGAAACAUGUCAAAACCAAAGAGUGGUUUCAGCAUUUGAUCUUAAGCUAGAAGAGAUCAGAAAGAUGAGAUUGCCUCCAACGAUGCUGAGGGAUCCAUAUGUUCUUGGCUAUUAUUGGGUCUAUUUGGGCUUUUGUAUAUAUCGACAGAGUCGUUUAUUGUAUUAGGUUAACACAAUACUCUUGUCUAAAAAGGAUUUUGCCGUCACAUAAAAUAAAAAAGUAAAAUACUUUUUCAAUAAACCGACUCAUAUAUGUCGAUACAAACAAAGACCCAAUAUGUUAAGAACAAACACUUAAGUAGUUGUAAAAGGUUUUCAUAAAAGUGGUCUCGACAAUCGUUGAGAUUCAUUCCUUUAACGAAAAUGGUUGAAUUGGUUCCAAGAAGCUUCUCAUUGGACUGUAUGAGAAACCCCACUGAGACAACUAAGAUUGGUAUUCCUCAUACAUCCAUAUCCUAACUAUCCUUCUGAUUCCAAUUGUGCAAAUCCCUUGGCUUGAAGCAUUUGAUGCAAUUGCACAUUGGCAAGGUUAGUUGAUCACAAUUUCUACUAGCUACUAUAUAAUACUCAACGUUGUCGCAUCAACGAUAUUUUGGUCCUCAUACUCGACCUUGUUGCAUUAACGCUUGAUAGAAUUUCAAUAGAAUAGUUUCUAAUUCCAAAAACUAUAUAUAAGUUAUUACUUAAGUCAAAUCUAAAAAUUAGAUUUUUAGCGCAUUUCAUAAUAGAGUAUUUCUUCUAGUUGGUAAUUAAUAAUCAUUUGAAAUCUCGAGUUUAACCUACAACUUUUUGUCAAUUGUUUUACUAAUUUGCAUAUAUUUUGCUUGAAUUUUGCUUAUGUUUGUUAAAAAAAGUCUUUUAUUUUAGUUUUUUAUAUGAUGAUAAUUUUGUUUUGAUAGAGUUAUGAACUUGUAGUAAACAAAAUCAUCAUUAAAUGCACGAAAAAUUAAGUAUCAUGUAUAACCAAAAACCAAGAGUCAAACGGAUGAUGAUUUGAGAAGUUUUAAAGAAUUCAAACGGUUGUUUGUGCUCUAUUAUGCUUUGAUUUGCAACUCUUCUUCAAUGGGCUUAUGGGCACAGAGCAGAUAUAUAUCAUUGAUAUAUUACUAUACAUAUACAGUAUCGUGUGGGCCGGAUGUGCAUCAUCAUGAAUCUAAUAAAAAUUAAGUUUAUAGUAUAACCUUUUUCUAAAUGAUAUUUGAACUCUUCAACUCAUAUACAAAAUUAAUUAAUUCAUGGGACCUUCCUUCACGUUUUAAGUUUGUUAUAAAAUAAGUAAAAUUGAUUCAGUAAAUCGUCAUGACAAACCUGAUUUACGCCAAGUUUUACGUUCAUGCGAUUAUUUUCAGAACUUUAUGCAUGUUUUCAACCGUGCGAUUAAAUUUCAACGACCAAGUAAUCCACCAUUAACGGUUACAUUAGCGUACAAAUUUCGCCAUCAAUCUAAUUCCAAAUUACCUUGAUUUAGGGAAAAAUAAGAAUUAAUAUGCUAUACGACACCGUAUGAUGCAACCAGAUAUAAACUAUGGCUCUAACGGUUAACCGUAAUUAGGAUUCACUUCGAAAUAAAACUAAACAAAAAACGAAAGACUUCAAGUGUCUUAUAGUAUUUUUUUAGACAAAGUAACACGUGGAUUAAUACAGUUGGGCGUAUUAGAGUCUUUCACGGGAUUUGAUCAAUCUAUAAACUACUAUAAGUAGCCCAUCUUACCUUACUUAAUAUUAUCAUUUAUCA
rnacentral:sRNA from 1 species